AACGAACGCUGGCGGCAUGCCUAACACAUGCAAGUCGAACGAGACCUUCGGGUCUAGUGGCGCACGGGUGCGUAACGCGUGGGAACCUGCCCUUAGGUUCGGAAUAACUCCCCGAAAGGGGUGCUAAUACCGGAUAAUGUCUUCGGACCAAAGAUUUAUCGCCUUUGGAUGGGCCCGCGUUGGAUUAGCUAGUUGGUAGGGUAAAAGCCUACCAGGGCGACGAUCCAUAGCUGGUCUGAGAGGAUGAUCAGCCACACUGGGACUGAGACACGGCCCAGACUCCUACGGGAGGCAGCAGUGGGGAAUAUUGGACAAUGGGCGAAAGCCUGAUCCAGCAAUGCCGCGUGAGUGAUGAAGGCCUUAGGGUUGUAAAGCUCUUUUACCCGGGAUGAUAAUGACAGUACCGGGAGAAUAAGCUCCGGCCAACUCCGUG
rnacentral:rRNA from 1 species